rnacentral:rRNA from 1 species
CAGGCCUAACACAUGCAAGUCGAGCGGACCAUUCCUUCGGGGAUGGUUAGCGGCGGACGGGUGAGUAACACGUAGGCAACCUGCCUGUAAGAUCGGGAUAACUACCGGAAACGGUAGCUAAGACCGGAUAGCUGGUUUCUCCGCAUGGAGGGAUCAUGAAACAUGGGGCAACCUGUGGCUUACGGAUGGGCCUGCGGCGCAUUAGCUAGUUGGUGGGGUAAUGGCCCACCAAGGCGACGAUGCGUAGCCGACCUGAGAGGGUGAUCGGCCACACUGGGACUGAGACACGGCCCAGACUCCUACGGGAGGCAGCAGUAGGGAAUCUUCCGCAAUGGGCGCAAGCCUGACGGAGCAACGCCGCGUGAGUGAUGAAGGUUUUCGGAUCGUAAAGCUCUGUUGCCAAGGAAGAACGCCUCGGAGAGUAACUGCUCUGAGGGUGACGGUACUUGAGAAGAAAGCCCCGGCUAACUACGUGCCAGCAGCCGCGGUAAUACGUAGGGGGCAAGCGUUGUCCGGAAUUAUUGGGCGUAAAGCGCGCGCAGGCGGUCUUUUAAGUUUGGUGUUUAAGCCCGGGGCUCAACCCCGGUUCGCACUGAAAACUGGGAGACUUGAGUGCAGGAGAGGAAAAGCGGAAUUCCACGUGUAGCGGUGAAAUGCGUAGAGAUGUGGAGGAACACCAGUGGCGAAGGCGGCUUUCUGGACUGUAACUGACGCUGAGGCGCGAAAGCGUGGGGAGCAAACAGGAUUAGA